rnacentral:rRNA from 1 species
UACCAGCACCCCGAGUGGUCGGGACGAUUAUUGGGCCUAAAGCAUCCGUAGCCGGUUUUACAAGUCCUCCGUUAAAUCCAGCUGCUUAACAGAUGGGCUGCGGAGGAUACUAUAAGACUAGGAGGCAGGAGAGGCAAGCGGUACUCAGUGGGUAGGGGUAAAAUCCGUUGAUCCAUUGAAGACCACCAGUGGCGAAGGCGGCUUGCCAGAAUGCGCUCGACGGUGAGGGAUGAAAGCUGGGGGAGCAAGCCGG